GUCGGCAAACUUGUGACGACUCUUUGUGAAGCCCUCCGAAAGCAGUGCUUGCGAAGGAGGCGCGCCCAUUUUGGUGGUCCCUCUCUCCCUUCCUCCGCUCUUCUUCCGGCGUGCUCCGUAAAAUCUAGGGUUUCGAUAACCGGGCGAGCCAAGGUUCUUUCUUCCUCCGAAUUGUUCUUCUUCUUAACAGGUAAUGGCGGCGGAAACAUCUCGGUCAUUCGGGAAGAAGCGCGCCCGGGACGAGGAGAGCGUUCUGGAUAAGGGAGAUGCCGAUGGAACCCUAGGGCUAGAGAAUAAUCUGACAUUUAGUGAUACGUUGAUAGCUCUUCAAAUGAUGCGUGCACAAUUUCCAAAUAUUGAGAAGGUUGCCACGCAGCCUUUCAUCUUACGUUCACAAUUGUAUAGUAGCGUAAAGGACCGGACACAAGUGGAUAGAAACCUGGAGUCAUUGAAGGAGGAGAAGGCCCUGCGCUUAUUCAAACUAAAUACUGGCCAAGAUGAUCAUGCGAUAAUGUUCUUAGAUGAUUACCUCAAACAGGUGGCACUUGCUGUGAAGAGGUUAGAGAUAAAAAAUCAACAAGAUAUUGAGGUUUUUGAGUGGUUCAAGAAAUAUGUUAUCGAGACAAAAUUGGAUGUUAGCAUAGACCAUCAGGAGUUGUGCUCACUCUUGUCAUGUGGAGGUGAAGUGAAAGACAAACAUGUUACACUUUUAAUUGGUGCUGGUCUCCUUAAUCGCCAGUUGAUUGAUCCAAAUGUGUACUGGUUCACAAUUCCAAAUAUUGGGUCGAUAUUGAAGGGUCUCUCACAAGGAAGAAAGGAGCUCCUCUCAUUCUUAAAUCGUAGAAAAUUCAAAGAGAUGCUGCUUGCUCCUUUGGAGAAGAAACAGCUGCGCUUUUCUCCUCUUGAUAUGCGGUUCCAUCUUCGAGAUCUUAUUGGGUCUGGUCACCUGAAAACAGUUCAAACCCCAACCGGGUUACUUGUCCGAGUCUCAAAAGAUUAAGACACAGGGUCGUCUCUUCUUUGGAGAUUUGAUCUGGACUUGGUACAACUUUCGAAGAAUUCAGUAAUAAAAGCAGAGAUCUAAGAUACCCACAGCACCACAAGGCUCGGGGGGGCAUGAUGCUGACUCGCCGUUUGUUUGUGUACCUGGUGGGAUCGACCCGUGACCUCAACCCGUGGACCCUCAUUUCCCGAUUGGUGAGCAACGUCUCGACGUGUCUAAUCCCAUAUAGUCUAUCAAAGUGUGUACAGUAUAUCUCAAAUUAUUGGUACUUUUGUCGCUCAUGCUUCCCUGUCAAGAAUUGGGUCAGUAUCCAUCCCGAAGAAUGCUUGUGGACAACCAUUUCCCACCUUCCCAAGCCAUCCCCUAGCGCUAAAUACAACCCUAUCUGGCUAGAGGAGCCUCUUUUUAUUUUUAUUAUUAUCAUUUUUAAAUGUGUUUUGUGGCACCGUGACCAAUCCCCAUCUUGGUGAAUGAAAUGACGAUAGACUACGACCAUUCAUGUAGAAUAUUAUGUCCCCUCGAAUUGUUUUGCAAAGGGCGGCAGGUUUUUAUCUGUUUCUUAUAUAACAAACGCCAUCACUGU